UCAGGUUGAUCCUGCCGGACCUGACUGCUAUCGGAUUGGUACUAAGCCAUGCGAGUCAUUGUACAAUACAAGGCGGACGGCUCAGUAACACGUAGUCAACCUAACUCGAGGACGUGGAUAACCUCGGGAAACUGAGAAUAAACCACGAUAGAUCAUAGUGCCUGGAAUGGCUUAUGGUCCAAACAGUUUACUGCCAUGGGAUGGGACUGCGGCCUAUCAGCUUGUUGGUGAGGUAAUGGCCCACCAAGGCGAUUACAGGUACGGGCUCUGAGAGGAGAAGCCCGGAGAUGGGUACUGAGACACGGACCCAGGCCCUAUGGGGCGCAGCAGGCGAGAAACCUUAGCAAUGUGCGAAAGCACGACUGGGUCAGUCCGAGUGAUUCCUGAUAAAGGAGUCUUUUGCUUGUCCUAAAAGCACAGGUGAAUAAGGGGUGGGCAAGUCCGGUGUCAGCCGCCGCGGUAAUACCAGCACCUCGAGUGGUCAGGACGUUUAUUGGGCCUAAAGCAUCCGUAGCCGGCUUUGCAAGUCUUCGGUUAAAUCCCCUGCUCAACAGAUGGGCCGCU
rnacentral:rRNA from 1 species